rnacentral:tRNA from 1 species
GCUCGCGUAGUCCAACAGCAGAGACACGACGUCGAGAGCGUCGCCAGUGCAGGUGCGACUCCUGCCGCGAGCA